rnacentral:rRNA from 1 species
UGCGUAGUGGACGGCUCGGUUCCCGUGUCGAUGAAGGACGUAGCGAAAUACGAAAGGUGUUGCGAGUCAAUGAAUAUCCGAAUGCAUUGUCGUCCCUUCGCAGCUUCGGUUGCAAGGGGCGCGUCGGC